UAGUCCACGCCGUAAACGAUGUCAACUAGCCGUUGGGAGCAAUUAAGCUCUUAGUGGCGCAGCUAACGCGAUAAGUUGACCGCCUGGGGAGUACGCCGGCAACGGUAAAACUCAAAUGAAUUGACGGGGGCCCGCACAAGCGGUGGAGCAUGUGGUUUAAUUCGAUGCAACGCGAAAAACCUUACCUACCCUUGACAUCCUCAGAACUUGUUAGAGAUAACUUGGUGCCUUCGGGAACUGAGUGACAGGUGCUGCAUGGCUGUCGUCAGCUCGUGUCGUGAGAUGUUGGGUUAAGUCCCGCAACGAGCGCAACCCUUGUCCCUAGUUGCCAGCACGUAAAGGUGGGAACUCUAGGGAGACUGCCGGGGACAACUCGGAGGAAGGUGUGGACGACGUCAAGUCAUCAUGCCCCUUACGUUCUGGGGCUACACACGUACUACAAUGCAACGGACAAAGGGGCAGCCAACUAGCGAUAGUGCGCUAAUCCCAUAAACCGUUG
rnacentral:rRNA from 1 species